rnacentral:rRNA from 1 species
UACCCGCAGCACAAGUGGUGGUCAUUAUUAUUGGGCCUAAAGCGUCCGUAGCUGGCCUGUUAGAUGCCUGGGUAAAUCGAUGCGCUCAACGCAUCGAACUCCGGGUAGACCGGCAGGCUUGGGACCGGGAGAGAUGUGAGCUACUCGAGGGGUAGGGGUAAAAUCCUGUAAUCCUUCGGGGAGGACCAGUGGCGAAGGCGGUGAUCUGGGCCGAUACUGACGCUGUAGAGCGAAAGCGUGGGGAGCGAACAGG